AUACCUUUCUCGGCCUUUUGGCUAAGAUCAAGUGUAGUAUCUGUUCUUAUCAGUUUAAUAUCUGAUAUGUGAGUCAUUGACUCACACGAUAUUAAGUCAAUUUUUUAAGGGGGAAGAUCCAUUAGAGUAGCUUGCUACUUGGGCCUUCGUGCGUCGCCUAGGUGUUGCACUAUUGCCUUGGCCUGGCGCACCCCAC
rnacentral:snRNA from 2 species